rnacentral:rRNA from 1 species
UUGAGCGGAGAUAUAUGGAGCUUGCUUUAUAUAACUUAGCAGCGAACGGUUGAGUAACACGUAGAUAAUCUAUCCUAUACUGGGGGAUAGCCCGAUGAAAGUUGGAUUAAUACCGCAUAUAGCUAUAUAGUUGCAUGAUUAUGUAGUGAAAGAUUUAUUGGUAUAGGAGGAGUCUGCGGCACAUUAGCUAGUAGGUGAGGUAAAGGCUUACCUAGGCGACGAUGUGUAGCCGGUCUGAGAGGAUGAACGGCCACAAUGGAACUGAGACACGGUCCAUACUCCUACGGGAGGCAGCAGUGGGGAAUAUUGCACAAUGAGGGAAACCCUGAUGCAGCAACGCCGCGUGAGUGAAGAAGGUUUUCGGAUUGUAAAGCUCUGUUAGCAGGGAAGAGGAAGGACGGUACCUGCAGAGGAAGCCACGGCUAACUACGUGCCAGCAGCCGCGGUAAUACGUAGGUGGCAAGCGUUGUUCGGAAUAACUGGGCGUAAAGGAUGCGUAGGCGGUUAAACAAGUUAUAUGUUAAAUAUAUAGGCUUAACCUGUAGAAAGCAUAUAAAACUGUUUAACUAGAGUGCAGGAGAGGUAAGUGGAAUUCCUAGUGUAGCGGUGAAAUGCGUAGAGAUUAGGAAGAACACCAGUGGCGAAGGCGACUUACUGGACUGUAACUGACGCUGAGGCAUGAGAGCAUGGGGAGCAAACAGGAUUAGAUACCCUGGUAGUCCAUGCUGUAAACGAUGGGUACUAGGUGUGGGUUGUGAAUAACAAUUCGUGCCGUCGCAAACGCAAUAAGUACCCCGCC